GGGGGACUAAUCUGGCAUUGGGACUCUGGGUCUGGAACCUGGUAACCAGCUUAGCUCCUCACAUGGCAGAGAGAUUAGGAGCACAGGGCCUGAGCACUCCUCGCCCCCAUUCGCUGAUGGAUGACAGCAGCUGGAGGGGAAUGUUCUGAGGGACUGGGGAGCUGCAGGCAGGGGCCCAGGUUUGCUCUGGAGGGCACGAGUCACCCAGGACCACUGGCUGGGUUAGUGAAAUGGCUCCUUUGCCAAGCGUCAACAUGUGGUAGAUCUAAUUUGAAAUGAGUUCCAGAGCUGAGGCAAGGCUAUGAUAGAACACAAGGCAAACAGCUGAAAACUGUAGUCAAAAGGCAGGGAAGCUGAGAAAGUGAUUCAAA
rnacentral:lncRNA from 1 species